CAAGGAACUUCCUUCUUCGGGGGAGGAGAGAGAGCAGGAGCUGCCCAGAUGUGGGUGGCAGAAACGAAGCUAUACUGCUUCCCCGCGGGUCAGAUCCGUUCUAGGAGCAGCGAUAACCUGUAGCUCCUGCGCUCCUCCUCUCCCUCUCGCUGCCGCCCGCCUGGGCAGGCGAAGUCAAGGUCUCAAGUCAGGCAUCCUUCCCCUCCCCGGCUCACCCGUGCAGGCAGCAGCCGUACCGGGGGGCCCGGGAGACGCUCAGCACCCGGCAAUGCCCGGACACGGAAGCAACGGGAACGCCGACGCGGCACCGCCCUGCAGGGACUCGGACUUCACCCAAGAGGCGUUGCUGCCUGGCUCCCUCCCUCGCCCUCCCCUUUUAAAGUCAUCUAAGAUGGUGCCCAUCACCACCACACCUUCUUAACGCUGGAUUCUAUACAUCGGUUACCUUAGAGAGCUCCACCUUCUGCAUGAUCCCCACCACCACACAUUAAGGUCAUCUGAGGAGGUCGGUCUCCAGUUGCCACCGGUACAUCUGAUGGCGGCUUAGAUGGCGGCCCUUCUCUGUAGCUGCUCCCGUGGAAUGCACUCCCGGCAGAAAUCCAUAGUUUGAGUUCAUGGUUGGCCUUCAAGAGAGCCUGGCCUUCCAGGGUUUUUAAAAAUGUUUUAAUUGUUGUUAAUGGUUUUAUACUGUUUUUUAAAAAAUGGUUUUGUAUUGAUUAUAAAUGACCGAUUCACGGGUUUUGUUUUUGUUAUUGUGCACAACCCAGAGCUGUUUGGAUGGGGCAGUAUAGCAAUGUAAUAAAUAAAUAAAUAAUCUUGUUUUGUGUGAA